UGGGGAAUAUUGGACAAUGGGCGCAAGCCUGAUCCAGCCAUGCCGCGUGAGUGAUGAAGGCCUUAGGGUUGUAAAGCUCUUUCAGUGGGGACGCGGUACCCACAGAAGAAGCCCCGGCUAACUUCGUGCCAGCAGCCGCGGUAAUACGAAGGGGGCUAGCGUUGUUCGGAUUUACUGGGCGUAAAGCGCACGUAGGCGGGUCUUAAGUCGGGGGUGAAAUCCUGGACUCAAUCCAGAACUGCCUUCGAUACUGGCGACCUAGGGUCCGGAAGAGGUGAGUGGAACUCCAGUGUAGAGGUGGAAUUCGUAGAUAUUAGAAGAACACCAGUGGCGAAGGCAGUCCCCUGCCAGUACUGACGUCAUGCACGAAAGCGUGGGAGCAAACAGGAUUAGAUACCCUAGUAU
rnacentral:rRNA from 1 species